rnacentral:rRNA from 1 species
AUGGCAGAUCCAAGCAAGGAUAAAGCAGGGGAUUCUAGUGUGGAUAAGCUAUAUGAAAUUUUCAGCAAAAUGUUUGAGCAGCAGCAACAACUCAGAGUGGUUCCUGAAGGAGUCAAAUAUGCACUUGAGCCUAAUCCAGUAAAGCUGGCUGGACCGGGCAAUUACAUCAGCUGGGCACGACAUGCCCAGUUAAUCCUGAGUUCUCAUGGUUAUGAUGACUUGCUUAGUGCCGAUGAAGGAAAACAGCUAAGUGACACUAGCGCAAAACAGGUUAAUGACAUAGUGUUGGUCUGGUUAUUAGAAAGCAUGGAACCAGAACAAGUUGAGACUAUGACUACUGUAUCUGAAGUAUGGGCAGCUUUGGAGAAGCAGUUUGCAGGGAAAUCCAAUAAAAUGCAAGGUAAUUGUAUUAUGCAUGAAUUGACAAACCUGAAGCAAGGCACAAAGUCUGUGACAGAGUAUGCUGGUGAGACCAAAAGACUGUACAUAGAACUGCAUUAUUAUCAUCACUUUGAGCCCGUUGACAAACAAGACUUGGCUAUUCAUCAUACCUGGUUUGAGCCAUUUGUGAGCAAGCUCUUUCUUGAUGGCUUAAAUGAGGAAUUUGACCUUCGACGCCAACUUAUAUUCUCAAAAACUGAGUGGCUUAGUCUUGAUGAUGUUAUCUCAAGUGUGAUAGAGGAGGAGACUCGGUUGGCUCAGCCUGAGAAUGGCCUAAAGUAUACAGAUGCUCAUGCAGCCUUAUCCAUGCAAGCUCGACGUGCUCCAAAGUUUGUUGGCAAAUCAGAUAAAAACAAACUUUUUUGCAACCAUUGUAAAAGGACUGGACACAUAAAGGAUGCAUGCUUUGAGCUGCACGGCUUUCCAACUUGGUGGGAAAAAGGAAAGUCUCGGCCAGGGGGAGUUCAUGGAGCAAACAAAAAACAAGCUAACCUCACUACAUCCAAGGGGGAGCUACCAGUGGUCGAUGUGCGAGCUCUUGAGGAUUUACUUCCAAGCUUAGACUCUCAGAAGGCUCGUCUACUUCCCAGGAUUCCUCUAAAGCUGAAUCUAGUUUCUAUAUCAAUUCACACCAAGGAGCUAGCGACAGGGAGACUGUUGGGGACUGGGACCGUGCAUGAUGGACUCUACUAUCUUGAUGAAGGAAGUGAUGAAGUUGCUUUUGCAUCAUGCUUGUCUCCUAGCCAAGAACUACUACUCCAUCAUCGCGGGCUUGGCCAUCUAUCUUUUGCUGCAUUAUUACGUAUUUACCCCUCUCUUUUCAAGUUGUGUCCCAAGGAGCUCCUUGUAUGUGAUGCUUGUGAGUUAGCUAAACAUACAAGGGGUUCCUAUCCUAGUAUAGGUUUAAGAAGUGCCAAACCAUUUGAAAUGAUUCACUCGGAUGUUUGGGGACCCUGUGAGGUUCGUUCCAUUUCUGGGCACCGAUGGUUUGUGACUUUUAUUGAUUGCUUUAGUCAUUACACUUGGCUUUAUCUCUUGAAGCAUAAGAGUGAUGUGUUCUUGGUUUUUAAGGAUUUAUGUGCUCUCAUUAAAAAUCAACAUGGGGCA